UACGUAGGCAGCGAGCGUUGUUCGGAGUUACUGGGCGUAAAGGGUGUGUAGGCGGCCUAUUAAGUUUGGUGUGAAAUCUCCCGGCUCAACCGGGAGGGUGCGCCGAAAACUGGGAGGCUAGAGUGCGGGAUGGGAGAGUGGAAUUCCUGGUGUAGCGGUGAAAUGGCGUAGAUAUCAGGAGGAACACCGAUGGCGAAGGCAGGUCUCUGGGCCGGAUA
rnacentral:rRNA from 1 species